UCUGUUUCAUCCGUAUAGGAAUCAUCAGGUGGUCUGAUGAUUCCACCUGAUGAUUCCUAUACGGAUGAAACAGA